CUCCUACGGCGCGCAGCCCGCGGCUCUGGCAUCCCCAACGCACUUUCUCUCCUCGAUUUGCUUCUCUUUCCCCCGCCGCUCCUCCUUCUCCGGCAAAAAAGAAAUGAGAAGGGACCGCGAGGACGUUGCUUUUUUUGUUUUUUGUUUUUUUUUCCUCUCUCUGUCCUCUAGAAAUGGUGAGAGGAUCACAUGAGGAGCUGGCACGGAGACCCAGGACCCUUGGACGUCGGAGGAGGCAUCGAACACAUAGAUUUUCCUGUUGGCCCCGUUCCUCCAGUGGCUGUGUGUUCCUCUGAAUGACAACUUUGCCAUCAGCUAUAUUAUCUGGUCACAUCCCCUACCUGGUGUCAUCUGCAAACACGAAGAAAAGCUACCUGUAAAGACUGAAAACAUUUCUUGUGUGAGAUACUUGCUCUGUCUUCUAUUGGGAAGGGUUCUGCAUGCAGUACACCCAACAAGUUAUGCCCUGGUGACUUGUUUGACAAGUUGGCAGGUAAAAGGUGUGAACCCAUCCACUCUUGUCCUUGCUGAGACUUCUGUUUUUUAAUCUCUGAAAUAUCAAGCAACAAAGGAAGACCAGGAUUCCUUCUGAAGAUAACUGGUGAGCUAGACGAGUAAAGCAGAUCCAAAGCCACCGUUCAGACCUUCAGGAAUCACAGACCACAGCCUGUCUGUUGAUGUGCCUCAAAAGGCAACUUCUGUCUAACAGCAUUGCAUGAGAACACAGCUAACCAUUUGCUCAGUGCUUUCACUGUUUGCAGAGUGCAUCCUGGACAAGUGACAUCUCUCUUCCCUGCUUUGACUGUUUAGGUAGUCUUAAAAGGGCUAAAGCAAAUGACAGUAGUUAUUUUUUAUUAUUAUUAUUUUUUUAUGUUGUAUAUCUAUUAGUUCACAGUUUGAUUUGAUUUGAAGUCUGACUAUUGCCUCUUGGUACUUUAUGAGCUGACUCAAAAAGGUGAACGGAUAAGUAUGAAACUUGUACCAAAAGCAGAAGAGGAAAACAGCUAGCACAAGGCAUAUGGUGUGGCAGGAACAGCUGCACUAAGAGUCUUUUUUAUUUGUGAUUGAGUUAAUGAGAAAUAACUCAUAGAGGGAUGGUGGAAGUCUGAAGAGGUACCACAUUGUUGCAGCAAUGGCUUUUCUGGUUGCUUUUUAAAUAUUGGCCUGCACUAGUCUUUUCAACAGUGUUUACAUUACUGAAAACUGAAAAAAAUGCAUAAAUUCCAGGAAUAAGUUAGAAAUGCAUUUAUAAAUUUAUUCUCUAGAACUGUUCUAGAAAGAAUCUGUAAGUGAUUUCUGAAGGCUCCUCACAUUCAUAAAACCCCUAUAAAAAGAUCCAUUUGUAUGUCCAGUGUAUUUUUUACAUUGGUUUUUCUGCCUUCUGAGUACAUUAAAUUUAUAAUCUCAUAUGCUGUAGAUAAGAAUCCAAAUUAGUCCUUUGACAGUUUUUCUUUGAAUAUCAUUAGAUGUGGUAAUUAUGAGUAGAGAAAUAUCAGUUCCUGGACUUAGAGUCAAUUACAAAGGGGAUCAGCUAUAGGACACACAAGUUAUAAGUGAAUGGAAACAGUGAUUCCGGUCACCAUUCCCUUCACAACUGGUGACUCUGCUCACAUAUUAAGUUCUCAUAAAGAAAGAAUGAAUUAAGCUCAGAAUUUCACUGAAGCAAAAACUGUAUCUUGAACUUUACUCUGAACUUUUGGUCCCAAAGAGAUAAUGCUCUUCUUGCUGCCGCUGAACUCCUAAGCUACAUGUAAAAUCUAGACAGUUAUCUCUGCACUGUCUUCUCAAGAGAAAACUUUAUAUUGUGUGCCCAUUAGGAAAAGAUAGAAUUGGAAAAAAUAUUUCAAACAAAGCUUAGAAAUCAGUCAUUCUUCUUAUCUACAUAUCCCUAGCUAUAGCCUGACUGGUGGAAGAGAAGAAAAUUGCUUAAGUACCUUUGAGGAUAUUGCUGUAAGACAUUAAUGUUGCUUCUUUUGGCAUAAUGACAUAGAUAAAAAAGAUGAACAACAAAUAUCAACUUAUCAGAGACCUCAGGAGAGAUAGAUGCUUUCAUUCAACUUGUUUGUAUAAAUAAUUUCACCUGCUUUUUCCAGUUUCCCCAUCUCUUAUACAGCUCUAGUUACUUUUACCUGUCAGAAAGGGUCUUCUAUGGAUCACCCUCAUGAACUGCGCUUUCAUGCAUUCAACAUUGUCAGAUAUUUUAGUAACUAAUAACAUUGUAAUUUCAUAAUUGUGAUUGCAAAAAUACAGUAGGGAUAGAUUUUACAGUUAUUUAAAAGGGUGACUUCUGAAAGUUUUCUGCUGCUUCACUGCUUCUCUGUUCCUACAGUGACAUGGAUUUCCUAAGAAAAUCCUUGAUCCUUAGAGACCAGAUCACAUGAUCUCAUGCUGCAUAUCUCCACUCUAAACCAAGAAGUUCUGAUCCACUUACUGUUGAUGUUAGUUUGUACUGAGGAAUGUUGUUUCACUGCGUUGUUGUUUCAAAUGAGUUCUCAUUUUACUUUUCCCUUAACGUUCUUUGGAAUAACUAUAGUAUGAACUCGUGAACAAAAACUACUAGGUUUCAUCACAAAUAGACAAAUUCUUAACUAAAUAUAGUCAGAAAUAAUGAUUAAUUUGCCUGAAAUAAAUUGUAUACAAAAAUGAUGGGACAGGAGGAUAAGGUUCCAGACAUUCUAUAGCAUAAUUCUAUUUCAGUUGGUUAUUGAUUAUGAUGACAGCAAGGGCAAGAUCAAGUCUUUCAUAUCUCUUGAAGAGAAAUUGUCUUAAAAUACAUAAUCUUAAUAUAAUUUUGAGGAAAUAUAUAUUCACUCAUCUGACUCAACUUAACUUUGUUCCUUUUCCCCUUAGCCUUCUUGCAAGGUUCUGAAAACAAAACAAAACAGGAAAGAUGUAUCAUAUAUAUACCUUUUAAAUGUUGGAGGAGCAAAAUUUCUUCAGUGUUAAAUUGCUUUGUUAUUAAUAGAGGAAUUCUAACUCUGGUGCACUGGGUCUGUGAAAUGGAAACAAGAAGUUUCUUUGGUUGUUAAUGAUAAUUCAUGAGUGAUUUUUAGUCUGAAUAACAAAGCUGUAAGUACAGACUUAGGACCUUAGCGAUUCAAUAAAUUAAGGCAUGUCAGCUCAAUUUAUAGCUUUUUUCAUAGCUUUUCUAACAAUUUGCAGCCAUGUAAUCUUCCAAGUGCUGCAUAUCAUUGUGCAAGCAAUGUAAAAUAUGUCCACUUAAAUAGAAAGCAUGAAGCAUUGUACCAGGGUGCUUCUGUCAUACUUACUUCCUGUUUCCAAGAUCCAGAUUUAAAGCCUUCCUUGACAGAAUUACCAAUGUUCUUUUCUCCUAAGGAAAUGAAAUUAUGCUUAUCAGAUUUCCUUCAAGGGUGAGGUUUUGAAAUACCAUAUCCUUCCUUUUUACACAACUAGAAUUCUGGGAGUGGCUUUUUUUUUCUGUGUUUUUUGAUACUGGUGUUCUGGCUUCACUACGUUACCUUCUAAUUUGUAGUGAUUUCAAUGAGGAGAGAUUCAGGUCUGUCAUGCUGGUGAUUUACAUGAACAACUCCUUGUUCCAUAUGCAACACUGGUAUAACUUUUGAUGGGAAAGAAUUCACAGUACCUGACCUAUUUACCACUUUUUUAUUCCAUUUCUUGAGAUAAAAGUGUUGUAUAGAUGAAUCACAGACAGCAGAGUAUGCAUGUUUGGUUACUGUGUCACUUUCAGUUCAUCAUGAAGAAAAAUCUUUUCUAAUCAUCUAGCCUUUUACUUAAUAACACUUUUGAUAAAUUGCUUGUAUACAGUAGGUUAUCAAACCCAAACAUUAAAGACUUCAGUUUGACACUGCAGGAAUGAAUCAUACUGAAAAAAAAAAAAAAAAAAAAAAAAGGCCAAAUUUACAAUUCUUCAUCUGGAGUAAAAAAAUAAAAAAAAAAUCAUGUCAGUCUAAAGACCUGCAGUAAUGACUCAGAAAAAGAUUUUAGGUCGGUCCCAAGGAAUUUAAAGAUAUACUUGAAGCAGAACUGUUCAUUUCAACAACAUUUCAUAUCUAUUUACUACUAAGUUUCAGUGCUCUCUAUAGAUCACUGCUCUGUACUUAAUCGUAUGACACCAUUAGGAAAGUUUUCCUUAUAUUCUUUUUCUUUUAUUAUUUUUUAAUUAAUCCAUUCCCAUUUCUUAUACCUUUUUGACUUUUCUUCCUGUUGUAGCUGUCACACUUAAAAAUAUAUGAGUGACAACAAGUUUGACAGCCUCUGGGACAGUGAGGCACUGAGCAGAAGAAAGCAUCCUCAGCAUGUUCACAGAGUCAAUAGGGAUAGCGGCAUGGAUAGCAGUGAUAUAUAUUCCUGUCAGCUAAGAGUGGCUCAGUGUAAAGUGAGUGCAGACAUACUUUUCCUCACAACAAAGGAAGGAAACACUGAAGAAACGUUUACUAGAUUGCUAGUUGAAAGAUUACAAUGAUUUCCAAUUUAUAAAAUAAGACUCCAUUCAGAGUACUUUGUAGAUGGACCUGCUCCUCAUUUCUGUUACUUUUACACUGUAAAGAUGUCUUACCAUGGCUGUAUGCAUAAUUUAUUUGAACUUUAUUGUCUUUUAUGCUGCUGGAACAUUGCGCUGAGGCUUCAGUAUAAAUAAAAACUAAGUGCCAGCAUGUGUCAUUAAAGCUUUCAUUGGGCUAAAUUAGAAAUCCUCCUCUCAAGAAAGGAGAUCAUGGAAACAAAACUACUUAAUAGGGUAACCCUUACAGCACAAGGGAAAUACUUUGUUCAAUUUCCCUAUGGCUCAAGCAUGUCCUGCUUUUAGGUGUGUGUGCACAUGCAUGUGCAAGCCUAGCUGCUUCUUGUACAUUUAAGUGUAACUUUAACAACUGCUGAGUCCUGGGUACAAAAAGACCAUCCAAGGAAAUAUCAUUAAUGCAAUUGUAUCUGGUCCAUUUGUUAGGGAAAGGUAGGGAGAUAUAUGCUGUAAUUUGGUGUCAGGCACAGGAGAGUAGCUAUCUGUUUGGAGGUCAGCACCUGUGGAGAAGGAAUCUACCAGCUGUUUCAAUCUCUCCUAAUUUUUAAAAACAAAAAUGCAGUUCUCAUUUCAGUUUGCAUUACAAUGUGCUCCAUUUUCCCUGCCACAAAGUUAAUAAUCCUUGGUAGCUGAAUGAAGCAGAGCACUUACCAUGUUUAUUGUCUCUAUUAAACCACACCACCAAAUGUGACCAAACAUUCUGAGGUUGCAACAAAAAGCACAUUUUCAUUCUGAUUGAGCACCAUAACAACCUCGUAAAAAAAAAGAAAUCACAAGUUUGUUUUGUUACAGGUAGCCUAUUUAAAUCUGGUGGGUGAAAGCCUCAAAGAUAUGUGUCUGAAAAAGAGCCAGUAUCUGUGUUUGCAGUGGAGUGCAGGGGCCCAAGCUCCUGUCUUGUGCUCCCCCAGCCAAGUUAUAUCUCACAGAGCUAAACUGGUGAUGAAUACACUAUGGAAUUUGCUUUGCAAAACAAAUAUUUGACUUCCUACAGACCACUGAAGACUUGAUAAAACUUAGAAGUGACGCCUAACAAAUUUGCCUUUUUAAUCAAAGAGUUUUUUUAUUCCUUUCAUCAAACUAUAAAAUUGUAAAUGCUAUUUAUAUUCAGAAAUCUUUCAAAAAACAAGCCUUCACAAAAUCAUGGUGCUCAGAACAAGACUUUGUAAGAGAAGUUUCCAUAAAAAUUAUCAGUUAUCUCAAAUAUAGAAGUUACAUAACCUAUUAGUCAAGAAGGCCAAUAUAUCUAUUCUGCUUUCACAUGUGGAAUGGUGAGCAAAUGCUGAAGGCAAAAGGCCAGGAAGGGUGAAUGAUGUAGAUACCUUGACAGCCCCAGCACUGCUUGCUGGCAUGUAAGCCUGUGGAACAGAUUCCACAGUGGGGAAGGGCAGACUGGGAGCCAAGUGAGUUCUUAAGAAAGCAAGAUGGGGAGGUAGAUAGUUCCCUCCCAUCAAAGGCAUGGGAAUGCCCACAUGAGCUAAUAAUUUGCCUGGCUCCAAUCUCAAAAACAGGAGAUUGAAGAGUACAGGAGUCAUUCAGGACAUGACAAGAGUGGGAUUUUUGUUGUUGCUGAUGUUUACAAUUCUUUUGAGAGCUGAAGGCUUUCCUAUGUGUGAGUAGAAGGGCGAAGACAACAUAGAUGCUGAAAAAUAUAUAUCCAGUUAUGAAGAUGGUAGGAAAAAAAUGUCUGAAAAUGUCAGUUUGAAGGAGGUGGAUAUUACCUAGUAGUUUUUCCGCCAUUUUUAAUUAAUUAGUCAAAAAUAAUACCUAAAUCAGUCUUUAUUCUUCUUCAUUUACAUAACCUAGUUUAUAGGAAGUUUUCAGUAUGACAGAAUGUUUUUUUUUUUAUUAAAAUCUUAUAGGUUCAAAUUUGAAAUAUUUUGUGUCAAAGUCCCUGCUUCACUCCUCCCUAGAAAGUAAAGAAGGGUACUUGAAAGUGUUAAAACAUUUCACUCUAAUAAUUUCUGAUAUUUAGAAACGUGCCAAAACCAACCAACCAAACAAAAAAAACCCACAAAGAAACAAACAAACAAAGAUACCCAAUCCAGUAUCUGAAAAGGGACUGAAUAUGAAAUGGAAACCAUCAUUUUGUUACCACUAUGUUGGUGGAAUACAUCAGUGUUGCACACAUUUCUGACCUUUUUACCCUAAAAUGGGAUACAGUGAAACAAGAUAAGGUCCAACAAAAGGAGAGAAGACUGCUUAAAAACCAAAUGACUUCACUAUUAAGAACAUACACACAGAUUAAGAAGACACAAAUGUGGGGUAAUUAGACAGGUCUAAAUAAGUAUUAUUUGCCUGGAGACAGCAUAAUUUUAUGCAAUGACUAUUCAUUGCUUCUCUGAACACGAGGCAAUGGAAAUCAAAUUAAGUUUUGAUAUAGCAGAUUCAAACCAAAUAAAAUGACUUUUUUUCUACAUAACAAAAUAUAAAUCUGCACAACUUGUUGCUACAGUAUGUUGUCGAUGCAAAAAAUUUACAUAAAUUGCAAAACUCAUUAAGCAGACUCAGAAAAGAAUCAUAUUAACCAUCAAAGAGUUUAUUAGCCGUCAAAGGCUAAUAAAUGUGAGAUAAAACCUGCUACUCAGGAGCACCAUGAACUUCUGCUCAGAGGAAGUUCAUAGAGAAUACUAGGAAAGCAACUGUAUAAUAAAAUUUGCUGCAUUUAUAUACUGUUCUGUAGUUGACUUCACUCUUCUGAUAUCUUUGGUCAGAACAGAAGAUUUUUUGUUAUAGCAAAAUAAGUUUUUCUCUGUUUCUGGAAAUCAGAAAAUCUGAAAAAAAAAACCCCAUCACAAGUGUAGCAAAACUAAAUAUUUUGAUAGCCAUAAAAAUGUUUGUCAGAUUAUUGUGACUUAAAAUAAAAGAAAGAAAUAAUAAUAUAAAAAGGUGAACUGUCUAUUUAUACGACAAAACAUCUUAUCUCCCUCCCACACCUAUUCAUAUAUACUCGCAGUUGUUACUUGUAAGAACAUACUGUUGGGGAGGAUACUUAAACGUAUAAUUAUAUUAAAUAUAUAGCUAGUAAAGUAGUAAAACAGGAUGAAUAACAUAGUACCAUAGUAACAUAGUACAUAAGUAAAGCUUAUUUUAUUGGACUAUAUUUAAAAUGAAUUUUUAUUAUUAUUUUUGGACCAUCUCCACUGAAAAUAUUAAAGAGUUCCUUGCUCUUUCUGUAAUCUUUUACCUCGGCAUUCUUUUGUUAUCUUGCUUGCCUCAAUCACUUUGCCUAACUUUUACUACCUAGCUCUCUAAAAGAGCAACUUGUAAGAACUAUUUUAAAAAAAUUAAAAAAAAAUGUGAUUUUUUUUAUUGUGCUCUGCUCUGCAAUGAAAUGAUUUCUUCUUCUCUUUUCAUCUAAUUAUUCUUUCUCCUUCAAAUUCUUUGUAAGCAUAAAUCCGGCUUUUCUUUUACACAAAUAGGGGACAUCUGACCCUAAACAAAUGUACAAAAGUAUAGUUUAACAAGAAAACAAAUUUAAAAGAACAAAUCUUCCAAGUGUGACUAACAAAACUGAGUUUAUUACCCCCAAAUAUAAUGUACUAAUUAUGCAAAUUUGCUUUCACAAUAUUGAAUACUGAAGGUUUUAACAUCAAUUUUAGCAUGAUUACUACUUUUAAUUCAGGGAAUUCUGAUGUUACAUGGGAAUAUUUUUUGUUUAAACAAACUGAAUCUAAAUAAAGUUUAGCUGUGAAAAACAGACAAGCUUUUAUACACAGACCUCCCUGUGGACCUGGAAAAAAAAAGCAAUUAUUUGCUAGAAAACUAGGGUAUAUCUUUUUUCAUGGUUUUUGCUCCUUUCAAUGACAAAUAUUUCCUCUUCUUAUACAAUUUUUACAAAAACUUUCUAAUCUCCUAGCCUUUAACAAUCAUAUCUAUGAUGUCAAUAUUGAAAUAAAGAGAUCCUGAAGGACCAGUAGACUGGAAAGUGACUAAGAAGAGGCCAGAGCCAUCAUUAUUUGGGAAUAGAUAUCCAUCUGUAAUUGAUAUGUAGAAGAAGUGAUGAUCUGGCAAGGUCAGAACUGGAUCUGCUUGCUCUAAAGACCUGGAAGAACACAGGUGAAGCAUGUAUGAUUUAGUGUCAUUAUCUGUAUUAGAAAAAUCCAGCACAUCAUGGGAGUGAUGAAUAGCCAUGAUUCGUCAGACUGGUCCUUCUGCAGUACAGAGGUUGGCUAUUUGAGUUUACUCAGUGUUUGAGAUAAGGAAAGACUAUGACUCUUUCCAAAAUUCCUUAAGAAACCAGACUCCUGAACUACAAACAGAUGACGUAAGCAGUAAUGGUCAAUAAUUCAAAAGUUUAUCUCUUAUGUACAAUUCAGUGGGUGCUUAAUCAUUGAUUUUAUUAGAAUGAGAAUCAAACUCCUGGGCUUAAAAUUAAUUUUUAACAAAUGUACAGAAAUAAAUGCUUCAUUCAGUUGCUGCUACUGUGUUUUAUGUUGUAACUUCAAUACCAUGUUUUGCUGUUGCAGAGAACUCAGUUCAGCAGCCCUUCAUCCUCCAAGCUGCUUGAAAUCAACAGCACCCAUAAAAAAGCAAAAAUACUGAUAGCUUAAAUCCCAUUUAGGGCAUAGAGAUAUGGGUUCUUAUGUGCUCAUUAUUGGCCCACUUUGCAUUUAAGAACAAAACAAGGGUUGAGUAAUACUCUUUCAAAGCAUAAUCUGUUUUUUUACCUAGGGCUUAGUGUAAGAAAGCCAUGUUGCUUCAUCGGUUCUCUGUGGACUUACAAAUGAGUACAAAGCCCAGGGUCAAAUUCUGAACGUUCUCUUCCUGAAGUUUUCAACUUUUCAGAGUCAAAAGUCAUGCACUGUUGGACUACAGUCUAGUAAUGUGACCUUCAGCUUGCAUCCAGUUUUCUUCCAUUAAGGAAAACAUCUCUGGUAAAUAUGCCAAUCUGCUAUCUGCUUGAAAGUACUGGACUAAACCAUACAGACUGAACUUUUGUGAAAUAUCCUGCAGAAGCACUUAGUGUCUGACAGUCUUCUAUUUAUCUUUGUCACCUACAAACUCAUUUUAAGUAUAAUACUGCAGCAAUAAAUACAGUGGGGUGAUUAUUAUUACAAUGAACUCAUUUAACAUUACUAUGUCAAGUUAAGGUAUAUUUUAACAGUAAAGCACCAAAUUACCAAAUUAAAUUACAGUUCCAGUAUGGUUAAGUUAGAAUGUCUUUGCUAAGAUGAAAACUUUACAAAAUUAUACAAGCCUUUGUAUUUUUUUCUAUUGAUUUUAGAAUGUUCCUGCUAUAUAUGAACGGAUAGAAUAACAAUAGCCAAUGUAAGUCCAUAACAUAUAGAUGAGUCUGAACACAUGUGCUACUCUUUUAAUUUAAAAAUAAAGCAGCUUACAUACAUCCUGUUGUAUAUUAUUUUAGCUGAUAAAAUACAGACUUUACUUUGCAUGAAAAAACAAAUACAGCUGCACAUCAAGU